AACGAACGGCCGCCUCCUCGCCGAGAGCUGUGAUUGGCUGCUGUACGAGCUACUUCCGGAAAAGUUACUCACUCGAAGUGGCGGUAGACAGAUGUUCCUUCAGAGGUGCAGUUACAGAGACCAGUUUUGGAAAAAUGGAUAAACUCCCAUCCAGUGUUUCCAACCCAGUCCUGUGGUUUUUGAGCUGCACACACUCCUCUUGCUGUUGUUGGACAAGUACAUCUUUCCUCGCUCGCUCGCAUGUAG
ensembl:processed_transcript